rnacentral:lncRNA from 1 species
GAUGCCAGCAGGUCUCCUCCCUCCCUGAGUCAUGACAACCAAAAAUGUCCCAGACAUUGCCAAAUGCCCCCUGGUUGAGAGGAAUUACCCCUGACUGGGGAACACUGGCUUCAGGAUUCCUGUCCCCUAAGGGUAGCAAAGAGAAAAUGCCCCUUGGUCCAUGGAGGGCAGGUGGGGGAGGGGCAGGGUGCGUUUCUGAGGAAGGGGGGCUCUUUCCCCAGCACUGGAGGGAUGCCUAAGAGGGGCGAAGGGAAGCUCUUCACACAGAGGGGAGGGAGCCCGCCCCCAGCCGCCUUCUCCUGACCCCCUGGAGGGGGAUAGGGAGCAGCGGCCAAAGCCACAGUGGGAGUGGGUCCCACCUUCAUGGGGCUGGGCUGGGGGGCCCGCCUGCGCCUGACCUCCAGGUACCUCAGGCCGGGGCUACGGAAUCUGUCUCUUGUGGCCUGGAGCAAGGCAUGCAGAGGCCAGCUGAAGCCUGCGGGCGGCACUGCUGUUCACGGAGCUGGCUGAGGGAGGGUUUCUGGGCUUUACCAAGAACUGUAUGGAGUCCUGUGACGAUGCAGAGAAGGGGGUGUCCCAAAACUUCAAAGUCCAAACGACGCUUUAGAUUUUCACAGAAACAUUCCAACAGGGACGGUCCGGCCUCAAGUCCGCAGGCGAGGCUCCUGGCAGGGCAGGCAGUGCUGGGGCCUUCGGGGGUGUCUUCACUUCUAGGGGCUCCUCUGACCCAGCACUGCCACGUCCAUGUGCCCCGGCUGCCGUGGGAAAACCUCAGCAGGGCCAUCAAAGGAGGCCAUUGCCUCACAGCCCCCCUUCCCAUGCCUGCUGGGAGCCACACCAGGACCUUCCAUCGGGGGCAUCUGUCCAGGGCCCGUGUGGGGGCUGCGCUGCCAGGACACCCUCAGCAGAGGUGGUGGUGGCGGCAGGGGAGGGGACCUGGCUUCUUCCUUCCCUUCAUCAUCUUUCACGCUUUCUUCCCCUCUGAGCACCUGUCCCCCAGGGUGACCCUGAAGCUCAGAGGCUCCCUGACCCCACAGGACCCUGUUCCUCCCGGUGGGACUGUGGUGAUCAGAGCUUCGUCUCCUCCCCAGGUCCCCCAGGCACAUCUUCCAGAGAGAAGCCCCUGCCACCCUCAUUACAGCUGCCCUUGCCCGGGAACUCUGAGUGUGGCUCUGGGAACCCCACAGGGAUCGCCAUGGUGGGGUCAACAGGGCCUUGGAGACCAACGCUGGCCCUCCCCUUCACAGGUGGGGAAACUGAGCCACGGGGAGUGGUCAAGUGCCUGA